rnacentral:rRNA from 2 species
AGUCGUUCUGCCCAUUGAAUUUUAAAGGCUGCGGUAUAUUAACUGUACAAAGGUAGCAAAAUCAAUAGUUUUUUAAUUAGAAACUUGAAUGAAAGAGUUGAUAAAAUAUAGAUUGUCUUAAUAAUUUAAUUUAAAUUAAAAGUAAAAAUGCUUUUAUUUUUUUAUUAGACGAUAAGACCCUAAGAAUUUUAUUAUUUGUAUUAUUUUAAAAAAAAAUUUAAUUUAAAAUAAUUUUAUUGGGAGGAUAAUUAAAUAAAACUUUAAUUUAAAAUAAUAUUAAUAAGUAAAUUUAUGAAUAUUUUUAAGAUUAUAAGAAUAAAUUACCUUAGGGAUAACAGCGUAAUUAUUUUGGAGAGUUCAUAUUGAUAAAAUUGUUUGCGACCUCGAUGUUGAAUUAAAAUAAAAAUUAAAUGAAGAUAUUUAAAUUUUUAGUCUGUUCGACUAUUAAAAUUUUAC